rnacentral:rRNA from 1 species
UACGUAGGGGGCAAGCGUUAUCCGGAUUUACUGGGUGUAAAGGGAGCGUAGACGGUGAUGCAAGUCAGAAGUGAAAGCCCGGGGCUCAACCCCGGCCCGCCGUUGAAACUGGCUGGCUUGAGUUGGGGAAAGGCAGGCGGAAUGCGCGGUGUAGCGGUGAAAUGCAUAGAUAUCGCGCAGAACCCCGAUUGCGAAGGCAGCCUGCCGGCGCGCAACUGACGCUCAUGCACGAAAGCGUGGGUAUCGAACAGG